rnacentral:tRNA from 1 species
GGGGCUAUAGUUAACAAUAACAUUUGAUUUGCAUUCAAAAAGUACUACUAAAUAGUUAGUCUCA